GUUAUUGGGAAAUGGAGGGAAGAUUCAUCAAGAUACACACUAGAGGGAAAGAAGAAAUGAAGUGAAUGAAAGUAAACGAAAAAGAAUAAAAUGAAGGGAGACAUCAUAAGAGUCAGAAAAACAAAGUAGCCGUGUUGGAAAAAAUAAAUCUGAGCUAGUAUGGCUGCUGUCAGUGCUUGAAGAAUGUACAGCAGCUGCCAGUUAGACCACUGAUGAAAUGAAGACUCCUGAAGGCUCUUUGUACUGCAGCACUUGGCCAAAAAUAACCUGGCAUGCCACAGUUUCCCACAAACCCACAGAGAGAG